GAUGAACGCUGGCGGCGUGCCAAAUACAUGCAAGUCGAGCGAACGGACGAGAAGCUUGCUUCUCUGAUGUUAGCGGCGGACGGGUGAGUAACACGUGGAUAACCUACCUAUAAGACUGGGAUAACUUCGGGAAACCGGAGCUAAUACCGGAUAAUAUUUUGAACAGCAUGGUUCAAAAGUGAAAGACGGUCUUGCUGUCACUUAUAGAUGGAUCCUCGCUGCAUUAGCUAGUUGGUAAGGUAACGGCUUACCAAGGCAACGAUGCAUAGCCGACCUGAGAGGGUGAUCGGCCACACUGGAACUGAGACACGGUCCAGAGUCCUACGGGAGGCAGCAGUAGGGAAUCGUCCGCAAUGGUCGAAAGCCUGACGGAGCGACGCCGCGUGAGUGAUGAAGGUCUUCGGAUCGUAAAACUCUGUUAUUAGGGAAGAACAUAUGUGUAAGGAACUGUGCACAUCGUGACGGUACCUAAUCAGAAAGCCACGGCUAACUACGUG
rnacentral:rRNA from 1 species